AGCCAAGAAAAGAAAGGGCGGCCUGGGGCGCUCUGCACCGCGGGUGAGCCGUGAGAACACGGCGCUCCGGGAGAGAAGCCAGCACGAGACGCUGCCUCGGGCGCGACUCCAUUUACUUGAAGUCCAGAGCCCGUAAAUCCGCGAGACAGACAUGGAGGAGCGGCUUACCAGGAGCAAAACUAUCCAAAAACACAGAAGUGACAUCAUGAUAUGCCACCUUAUUUCUUGCGCCUGUCUGCAGAGGCCUGGGGUGACUCAAAUCCGCCGCUGCUGUGUGAUCUGGGACACUUCAGGAUGUGGGCACCGUGGGGAACCAGCUUGGUGCCCAUCUUGGAGGUGUCAUUCUGAGAACCUGGAAGCAGCUCUUGCCCAAGUCACACUCAAGAGCCACGGCUUUGUUAGGCAUUGCCACAUUUUCCAGUGAGUUCCAUGCUCAGAUUGUUCCUGCUUUGUACAGCCCGGGAUAAGCCUGUCAUGAUUACCAGAAAGCAGAGAUGUGGGCCACGGAAGCAUGGGUGAAUGCCGAUGAUGAAUACAGCUGGAGAGAGUGGGACGUGGUCUGUCCACCCCUCAUUAGGUGAGCAAGCGCAGAAAACGCAUUUUCAUCCCCCAGGCUUCUGUAUACUCUCGUGUGGAAUAAAAACUCUAUUGCUCCGGUCUGCAUGUUGCUGACGCCCCAGAAUCCCGAUGUGACAGCCUCGUACCUGAAGUGACAGUGUUCAGGGUGGGGGCUUUGAGGAGUGAUUAAAUCAUGAGGGCUGCACCAACGUGAAUGGGAUUUGUGCCCUUAUAAAACAGGCUGGAGCAUGUUCCUGUGCCCCCUUUGGCCACGUGAGGACACCUUGAAAGGCCACUCACGAGGAACAGUCCAGGCACUGAAUCCACUGGCGCCUCCAGAACUGUGAGCAGUAACAUUCCAUUGUUUAUAAAUUACUCAGUCUCCAGUACUUGGUUCCUGCAGCUAGAACAGGCUAAGGCCUCUGUCCGUGUUCCAGGGAAGCCUCCACAGGGCAGUCACUGCUGAGGAUACUCCGAGCAAAAGGUUCCGUGAUCCAGCACGGUGAUGCGCGCCCACUGUGCGACUUCCAGAGAUCACCGUGGCAUUCGUAAACCAGGAACCUCGUGGAUCUUUAGCCGUAUUAAACGUUUCCUAAACCUACAUGUGUAUUGGCCAUCCAUAAAUCUUUGGAGGAACGUCUAUGUAAAUCCUUUGCCCAUGUGUAAAGUUGGGUUAUUUGGUUUUUA
ensembl:lncRNA novel transcript